GGGGUUCCCGAGCGGCCAAAGGGAGCAGACUGUAAAUCUGCCGUCACAGACUUCGAAGGUUCGAAUCCUUGCAGUUCG
rnacentral:tRNA from 1 species